rnacentral:rRNA from 1 species
AACGAACGCUAGCGGCAUGCCUCAAACAUGCAAGUCGUACGAGAAAGUUUCUUUCGGGAAGCGAGUACAGUGGCGCACGGGUGCGUAACACGUAGCUAACGUACCCCUUCGCUGGGGACAACUCCGGGAAACCGGAGCUAAUACCGAAUGAGCUGCUAAGGUCUGCGGACUUUAUCGGCAAAGCCUCCGGGCGCGAAGGGAUCGGGCUGCGCAACAUUAGCUUGAUGGUGGGGUAACGGCCCACCAUGGCUACGAUGUUUAGCUGGUCUGAGAGGAUGAUCAGCCACACUGGAACUGAAACACGGUCCAGACUCCCACGGGAGGCAGCAGUUGGGAAUAUUGGACAAUGGGGAAACCCUGAUCCAGCAAUGCCGCGUGAGUGAUGAAGGCUUUCGGGUCGUAAAGCUCUUUCAGUGGGGACGAAGGGAAACUUGACGGUACCCACAGAAGAAGCACCGGCUAACUCCGUG